rnacentral:rRNA from 1 species
GGGGAAUAUUGCACAAUGGAGGAAACUCUGAUGCAGCAACGCCGCGUGAGUGAAGAAGGUUUUCGGAUUGUAAAGCUCUGUCAUCUGGGACGAUAAUGACGGUACCAGAUGAGGAAGCCACGGCUAACUACGUGCCAGCAGCCGCGGUAAUACGUAGGUGGCAAGCGUUGUCCGGAAUUACUGGGCGUAAAGGAUGUGUAGGCGGAUAUUUAAGUGAGAUGUGAAAUCCCCGGGCUUAACUUGGGGGCUGCAUUUCAAACUGGAUGUCUAGAGUGCAGGAGAGGAAAGCAGAAUUCCUAGUGUAGCGGUGAAAUGCGUAGAGAUUAGGAAGAAUACCAGUGGCGAAGGCGGCUUUCUGGACUGUAACUGACGCUGAGGCAUGAAAGCGUGGGGAGCAAAC